ensembl:snRNA U7 U7 small nuclear RNA
UAGUGUUACAGGUCUUUUCAAGUUUGUCUAAUAGGUUUUCUGGUUUUUGCUAGAAAGCCCCA